GACGAACGCUGGCGGCGUGCUUAAUACAUGCAAGUCGAACGGAAAGACGCGGCUCUUGCUGCUCGCUCGAUAGCCGAGGAGGUGAGAAACACAUGAGGAAACUCUCCCUAACAUUCUGGUAACAUUUCGGAACACGGGCGCUAAUCCCAUAGGAUAUCCUGCACCGCAUUGGUCAUUGGUAAGUGACGGCUUUUCUGUCAGUUGGCGCUGGAUACCCGCCUUAUUAGCUUGUUGGUGCGGUAGCGGCUUACCAAGGCAAUGACGGGUAGCCGGCCUGAGAGGGUGACCGGCCACAUUGGGACUGAGAUACGGCCCAGACUCCUACGGGAGGCAGCAGUGGGGAAUAUUGCACAAUGGGCGGAAGCCUGAUGCAGCAACGCCGCGUGCGGGAUGACGGGCUUCGGGUUGUAAACCGCUUUCGCCUGUGACGAGGCGUGAGUGACGGUAAUGGGUAAAGAAGCACCGGCUAACUACGUG
rnacentral:rRNA from 1 species